AUCAGUAAAUUCAGAAUAAAAUGUUUCAACAGGAAAAUUUAAGGGUUUGGGGUUUUUUGGUUUUAUUUAUCAUUACCUGAGAACUUUAGGCUCAUUGACUUGUUAAGAGAUGUUU